rnacentral:rRNA from 1 species
GGGGGGCUACGUAGUCGUCGGGUGCGCAGGCCUCCCGGGUAACCUACCACCCUUUGUUUAUUACACUUUGUUGCUUUGGCAAGCCUGCCCUCGGGCUGCUGGCUCCGGCCGGCGAGCGCUUGCCAGAGGACCUAAACUCUGUUUGUCUAUACUGUCUGAGUACUAUAUAAUAGUUAAAACUUUCAACAACGGAUCUCUUGGUUCUGGCAUCGAUGAAGAACGCAGCGAAAUGCGAUAAGUAAUGUGAAUUGCAGAAUUCAGUGAAUCAUCGAAUCUUUGAACGCACAUUGCGCCCCCUGGUAUUCCGGGGGGCAUGCCUGUCCGAGCGUCAUUACAACCCUCAAGCUCAGCUUGGUGUUGGGCCCCGCCGCCCCGGCGGGCCCUAAAGUCAGUGGCGGUGCCGUCCGGCUCCGAGCGUAGUAAUUCUUCUCGCUCUGGAGGUCCGGUCGUGUGCUCGCCAGCAACCCCCAAUUUUUUUCAGGUUGACCUCGGAUCAGGUAGGGAUACCCGCUGAACUUAAGCAUAUCAAAA